rnacentral:pre_miRNA from 9 species
UCUCGAAGGUGUAAAAGUUAACUCAAAUUUGUAUGGAGUUGGAACGUUUGCCUAGGUUUGCCGCUAGGGGCGCUGUUUCAACUGCAAACAAUUUUGAGUUAACUUUAACGCUAUCGU